UACGUUUACAUUGCCAUACACUGUAAACUGUACACUCAACGCUUAAGACUCUACACUCUACAUAUGCAGUACAAAGCAGAUUAAAAAUUUAACUUUACAAAACACACAAAAUGGCGGCUCACAGGGCAAGACUUCCUCUUGGAAUUAGACGGAAAAUACAGAAAUAUGUAAGAAUAUUUGUAUUUUUCGCGCUGACCUUUGUUUGCAUGUGGGAGUCCUACAGAAAUAUUAGGAAA